rnacentral:rRNA from 1 species
AAAGGAUUUUAGUCCUACCUUAAAAUCCCCAGUAACAACUAAUAUUUCAAUGAUUUUAAGAGCCAUUCAAAUAAGGUACAGCCUAUUUGACACAGGAUACAACCUCCGGCAAAGGGUAAUGAAUAUAAUCCCAUGACCAAGUGGGCCUAAAAGCAGCCAUCUUUUAAAAAGCGUUAAAGCUUUGUCAUCCACAAAAACAAUCCCAAAACCACCUCAAAACCCCCCAUUACUACUGAAUGACCCCAUAACCAUAUGGGGGACCUCAUGCUAGAACUAGUAACAAGAAUUAGACCUUCUCUAAAAUGCACGUGUACGCCAAAAUGAACCACUCACCGGCAAUUACCGCUAAUGAAUACAUAGUAAUAACCCAGCAAGAAAACCUUACUAAAAAAGCGUUAACCUAACACAAGAGCAUUUCCAGAAAGAUUAAAAGAGCGGGAAGGAACUCGGCAAAUAUUAGCCUCGCCUGUUUACCAAAAACAUCGCCUCCUGACCUAUCAUAGGAGGUCCAGCCUGCCCAGUGACAUAGUUAAACGGCCGCGGUACCCUAACCGUGCAAAGGUAGCGGCGG